rnacentral:rRNA from 1 species
UAGUGGCGAACGGGUGAGUAACACGUGGGCAAUCUGCCCUUCACUCUGGGACAAGCCCUGGAAACGGGGUCUAAUACCGGAUAACACCUGCCCGGGCAUCCGGGUGGGUUAAAAGCUCCGGCGGUGAAGGAUGAGCCCGCGGCCUAUCAGCUUGUUGGUGAGGUAGUGGCUCACCAAGGCGACGACGGGUAGCCGGCCUGAGAGGGCGACCGGCCACACUGGGACUGAGACACGGCCCAGACUCCUACGGGAGGCAGCAGUGGGGAAUAUUGCACAAUGGGCGAAAGCCUGAUGCAGCGACGCCGCGUGAGGGAUGACGGCCUUCGGGUUGUAAACCCUCUUUCAGCAGGGAAGAAGCGAAAGUGACGGUACCUGCAGAAGAAGCGCCGGCUAACUACGUGCCAGCAGCCGCGGUAAUACGUAGGGCGCAAGCGUUGUCCGGAAUUAUUGGGCGUAAAGAGCUCGUAGGCGGGCUUGUCACGUCGGGUGUGAAAGCCCGGGGCUUAACCCCGGGUCUGCAUUCGAUACGGGCUAGCUAGAGUGUGGUAGGGGAGAUCGGAAUUCCCU